CAAGAAUGUUCUGUGAGGCAAGCUGUUUAACUUAUUAGCAGAGCUUUAAACUAGAUUCAGCAGUGGACAAGGAUUUACUUCUGACAGAGGAGAAACAGGGAACACCGACACUUCAGGAAGCAACAGGGAAAUAUGUGAAUCGCCCCAAAGUAAUUACUGGAUGCUCCACUGAAAAGGUGAUGGGGCUGACAGCCUAGCUGAAGUGCCUCCACAUCAUAGCACACCUUAUGGGAAGCAAGCGGGAGGAGUCGGAAACCAUGUUGUAAUCAGAAAAUUAUGACCUAAUUGCUACCAUAGAAACGUGGUGGAAUGAAUCACUCAGCUGGAACACUUCAAGUGAGGGCUACAAGCUAUACAGAAGAGAUAGGCAGGGAAGGAGAGGCUGGGAUGUUGUCUUCUAUGGAAAUAAAUUGAUAGAUUGUGAAGAGCUGUUCUGAGAAACAGUCACAAACAGGUUGAGAGCUUGUGGGUAAAACUUAGGGACGAGACCAAUAAAGGACACAUUAUCAUUAGGUUCUACUUCAGGCCACUUGAUGAAGGGAAGCCAGUUGACAGGACCUUCUUGAUUCAGGUCCUGCUGAAAUGACCCCAAUUGCAACGUGAUGGGCUCUUCCAGCUGCUUCCCACAGAGAUGGUUCUUACUUCAGCUGCCUGUGCAAGGCAUUGGACCGUAGAUGAGUGCUUACAGAGAUAAGUGUAUUUUGGAGGGAUCCUUCUUCCCCAUCCAUGAUGGAGGGAUCCAUCUUCCCUAUCCAGCCACAGACUGCAGAGAUACAAAUGCAAAGUCAUGCGACAUGUCAAAGACCUGGUGCCAAAGCCCUGAGACUGGGGAGGUACAAAUAGGUUGCAGAUGCUUGUCCCCUGUAUGGCCUUGUCACAGGAUUUCUCCACACCUCAACAAAUCUUCUCUGCCUUCUGCUGAUCCCUGCAUUUUGUUCCAACACUCUAAAUGAAAGCCUUUCCCUCAGUGACCAAAAUGACCACUUUGUAUACUGCAUGAGUGAUGUUUUUAAUUUCUCUCUCUGUUACUUCAGACAUGUAUUAGAAAACAAAUGGUUAUAACUGUACACUUAUGGAAACAUAAAUAAGUGUGCUACUUCCACUAAGCACAUUCACAGUGAGUAGCGUUUAGUAACUUAGGUAGAUCUUUUUGACCUUGGAAGCAACUAUUGUACUAUGUAAGCUAAUACAUGAGAAAUGAUCUUAAAACAAAUCAUAUUUCCACCUCAAAUGGGAGCAAAAAGACAAUCUAUUUCAAAGACACUCUUUCCUCCUUUUUUUUUUUUGCUUAUGCUAUCAAAAAUACAGGUGCAAUAAAGAAAGGGGUAAGAUUUGCGGUUUUGUUAUCCUAUUACCAUGACAGCAAAGACAGACAUGCUAUUCUGUUAUUAAACAUAUCCAAUUACAGCCAUAAAAUGUUGCUCCUAUUUUUAUUAUCUGUCUUAGGGUUAUAAAGUUUUGUAGGUUAGAUGGGGAAAAAAAAUACACAUGAAAAUGCUUCAAUACAUAUUUGCCACACACACUCCAGUGUAUACAUUUCCUUGGAAACAGCCAAAAAAGGCCCAAAGUAUGGAUAGAAUGUACAGAAAUCAGGAAAGCUAGUCUAAGAGCCAACUCACUUUUUUAGAUGUACUUGUAGCUCCAGUAUGAAACAAAGCAUUUGUGUUAUAUUGAUAACAUUUAUUUUGCUGUCUUAAUGUACAUGGAAAGAAUCUGGUCUGAAAAGAGAACCUUUAUUUUAAUGUAUGUGACCAAAUUCUACAUUAAAUUGUAUCCUCAGAGACAUAUACAUUGUUGCUAGCUUUGGUGAGGACAGAUUUUGGUCCAUUACGCUGAGAAUCGCUCAGUUUGAUAUUUCACAUUCACCCUGAGAGGUAAGUAAAAACACUAUGGUACACACUUGCAAAGCUAUUGAGGAUCUGUUACUUACUGAAAUUAAUGGAGCUUCUGUUAACUGAGAUCUGGAGGAAUUAGCAAAUAACUCACAUUUUAUAUUUAAUGUGUUAUUAUACUGUUCAACUAUAACUACUAACAAUGAAAUACUUUAAUUUUCCUAGUAUAAAAUUUUCAGUUCACCUUCUUUGUUCUUUUUUAUUCCUUUUUUUUAUACACAUAUAUUUAUAUACAUAUAAAGGAAAAGGUGUCAGUGACUCACCAUGUUCCAGUGUAUCCAGGUACACACAUAAUUUAGUGGAACUGUCAACAUGCAUUACUGGGAAACUGUACUGUGUUUUUCUUCAUUUUCUAGUCUUGUACCAGAGAUGGAAAGACUAAUGUUGUCACAAUAGAAACAUACGAAAACAGUAGAGAUGUUUUAUUAAUUUUAUCACCAGAAGGCAGAGCAGCUGCAACUACGUAAUAGCUCUGCCUUUAAAAUGCUUUAGCACAUCUUUCAUUGUGUGGUAGCAUAUUUACUAUACACAGACUGAAUAUCACCAUGAAAUGAAUGUUUUGAGCAAUAAAAUAAAAACUAAGGCUUACAUUCUAUUCAUUCUACUUUUCUGUUUUGUGCUCUACAGUUUAAUCUUCUGCUUUUUAAUUCCACAUUCCUUUGUUGGUCUAACAAAUGUACAAGACAAAUCAGAUCAAACCACACAAUCACUGUGUAAGAACCCAUUUUGUUGGCAUAUGUGUUCUUAUCUUUCUUUCUUUCCUUGUAAAACUUCAAUAUGUCUUUAAUAAGAGAUGCUGUGUUCACAUAUAUGUAAUCUGAAAGAUUUCUGAGAAAGGGUUGUUUUUUAAGGUGGUUGGAUGAAUGGAUUUCUGUUUCUUUAAGCUAGCAACGUAGUGUCACUACAUUGUAUUAAAUACAUAUGUAUAUAUAAUUCUAAUUUGUACUGUACAACAUAUUCAUUAAUCUUUCAUUGAUCUUAGCAUAUACUUGUCCAUGAACUGCUAAGUGCAUUAAGAGCAGUUCACCAAUACCUUUCAUGAAAAGGUACAUUGUCU
ensembl:lncRNA